rnacentral:lncRNA from 1 species
UUUCAUUUAUCUAGCCGUACCUGAUCUCAGGGACUUCCAUGCCUCUAGAAGAGAUGGGCUGAACAAAUCACAUGGAGAAGCAAACAGAGGUUCCUCAUCUGCAAGUUAUAGUGAGUUGACUAUAUAUUAACUAAUUGUUCCCAAAGUCUACUUUUGCCCUUGGACUGUCUGAGCUAAGUAUCUCAUUGGACAUCCUUUGGGACAAAGUUGGGAGUAAUGGUUUCCUUGGAGCUCCUGAGGCUAAGAGCCUGCCUUAGGCAUUUGCAAACUUUUGUGGGAAUUACUAUAAAUAUCCAGUGCAGUAUAAAGAAAACACAACUCAUGUUUUUCCAAAAGAGAAACUGUGGGAAGCUAGCUCUUCAGAGGCAUUUCUCUCUCAAAGCGCAGGGACAGUUUUCUCCAAAACUUUCCAAGAACCAAAUUAAGCAACUUCCCCUGUUUUUCAUGACGCUCUCCCCUGCUCCAGUAGAAGUGUGGUUUUGUCUAACCUAGUGCAUCUGCUCAGGAACCAUGUGAAGCACAGCCACAUGCAGCAGCCCCUUUCCCCAUAAACUCCCUACACCCCAUAACCUCUAGGAUAGAAAGCAUUGUAAAUCUCAAUAAAGUAUAGGUUGCAUGUUUCAUUCAGGCUUCAUAUAAUUCACCGUCUAAGUAAAUUAAAGUGGUAGAUAUGAAAAAUAUACUUUAUUGCAAGUCAUCUCUUUGCUUAUAAGAAAAGAGGUAAGUUUUUCGUCCGUCUGAAAUAUUUUCUUUAUGUGCUUCCUUUAGACUAACCUGAUGGAAUCUAUUCUCAGUGUGUCUUCCAACAAAUGGUGGGGGUACUGGAGAGUAUUUCCCCCAAUGAAGUGUUAUCUUGGUCCAGGGCUCCUAAUCCUUCCCCGGCCUCAGCACAAAGCUACACUACCUCUCAAAAGCAUCUCUGCUCACAAAGGUUGCACCAAACAGCACCAUGGCCCUGAGGACCACGUGGCAGAAGUUUCUUUCUCGGGGGUCCAAUCAUUUGAAGAGUUUAAGUUUCCUCAUGGCAUUUUUUACCUCUGCCUUCCUCAGGCUGUAGAUCAUGGAUUUAACAUGGGGUUGAUGAUGGAAUCAGACAUGGUCAUUGCCUUUUCUAUGAGGUAAGUGGCCACUGGCCUCACAUACAAGGAAAUGUGUGGCACAAAGAACAAGAUGACCACUGUGCAAUGGGAGUCACAGAUGGAGAGAGCUUUAUGCUACCCUUUUGAGCCACAAGACUUCAGUGAGCAGGGGAUGAUCACAUAGGAGGAGAUGAGGGCAUGAAAGAUGGUCACACAUAUCACCCUACUGUUGAGGAUGACUAAGAGACCCAGGAAGUCAGUGUCCAUGAAGGCCAGUUUCAGCAAUGGAAACAAAUCACAUUUAAAGUGAUCAGUGACAUUGGGGCCACAGAAAGUUGUUUGAUUUAUGAACAGAAGCUAUAUUACUGCAUAGAUAAAUCCUCCCAGCCAGGACCCUCACCACUAGCAGGCAGCACAUCUGAGGGCUAAUGAUGGUGAAGUAGUGCAGGGGCCUACAGAUGGCUACAUAGUGGUCACAGGCCAUCACAAUAAGUAAAAUGAGCCCCACACCACCAAAGCAAUGAUCCUUGAGGGAGAUGUGGUAGUGCUCUCAGAGAAGGAAUCCACAUAAUCUUGGGAGUGAUGACAGAAAAUAUGUGUCAUCCAAAAUUGACAAAGAAAUAAGGGAAAAAAUACAUAGGUGAUCUCAAACUCUGACUUGUGAUCAUAGUGAUCAUAACGAGUAGGUUUCUGAAAACUGUGGACACAUAUAUAUUAGAAACACACCAGAGAGUAUUUUAUGCAGCUCUGGGUUCUCUGAAAGACCCAAAAGAAUGAAUUUUAUCAUGUUGUUUUUAUUUCCCAUUUAACAGGUGCUGACAUCAGCUCCAGGUGAAAGUUGGAAAAUCUAAAAAAGCAACAUAAGAUUUAUAAUUACUGAUUAUUUGGCUUCAUGUAGUUCUUGGAGUUCUGGAAGAUUAUUGUUUGUUUUUAUUCAUUUAUUCACCAUUCAAACAUUUGGCUUUUAAGAACAUGCUAAAUAUAGUGGUUAAGUGGUGUCAAGAUGGCAGUAUAAGAGACUCUGCACUCACCUCCUUCCACAGACACAAUAAAUCUACAACUACUCUUGGAACA